rnacentral:rRNA from 1 species
UCAGCACAUUAAGGUGAACCGCGAAAGGCUCAUUAAAUCAGUUAUGGUUCCUUAGAUCGUACCACUCUUACUUGGAUAACUGUGGUAAUUCUAGAGCUAAUACAUGCAAACAGAGCUCCGACCGGAGACGGAAGGAGCGCUUUUAUUAGAACAAAACCAAUCGGUGUCGAGUUCGCGCUCGUUCAUCGUACAACUUGGUGACUCUGAAUAACUUAUUGCUGAUCGCACGGUCUCGCACCGGCGACGCAUCUUUCAAAUGUCUGCCUUAUCAACUGUCGAUGGUAGGUUCUGCGCCUACCAUGGUUGUAACGGGUAACGGGGAAUCAGGGUUCGAUUCCGGAGAGGGAGCCUGAGAAACGGCUACCACAUCCAAGGAAGGCAGCAGGCGCGCAAAUUACCCACUCCCGGCACGGGGAGGUAGUGACGAAAAAUAACGAUACGGGACUCAUCCGAGGCCCCGUAAUCGGAAUGAGUACACUCUAAACCCUUUAACGAGGAUCAAUUGGAGGGCAAGUCUGGUGCCAGCAGCCGCGGUAAUUCCAGCUCCAAUAGCGUAUAUUAAAGUUGUUGCGGUUAAAAAGCUCGUAGUCGAAUCUGUGUCCCGCGCCGCCGGUUCAUCGCUCGCGGUGUCCAACUGGCGUGUCCGCGGGACGUCCUGUCGGUGAGCUUAGCCCGCGAGGGCGGCUCAACUUGAAAUCCCAUCACGGUGCUCUUAACUGAGUGUCGAGGUGGGCCGACACGUUUACUUUGAACAAAUUAGAGUGCUUAAAGCAGGCUAAAAUUUCGCCUGAAUACUGUGUGCAUGGAAUAAUGGAAUAGGACCUCGGUUCUAUUUUGUUGGUUUUCGGAACCCCGAGGUAAUGAUUAAUAGGAACGGAUGGGGGCAUUCGUAUUGCGACGUUAGAGGUGAAAUUCUUGGAUCGUCGCAAGACGGACAGAAGCGAAGCAUUUGCCAAAAACGCUUUCAUUGAUCAAGAACGAAAGUUAGAGGU